CAUAGGUCGUAAACUGCCUUUGAGACUUCACAGUUGGAAAUUAACACCAGGCGUGGUAACAGCAUGUGGCAGGCUGACAGAACCCCAUAUGGACGCCCCUCGCUGCUCUGAGUGCUAAACGCCACCAGAUGCGAUCAGACAUACAGCUGGCCUCUCCCAUGUCUCCAAGCAGAUGCUGGGAUGGAAGACACAGUUAUUUUCUGACUUCCUGUUCAGUCUUCAGACAGCUACCCACUGUGGUCUACAGUCUUAUGUUCCUGUCCUGAUCCAAUACAGAUGGAGCUUCGGGAAAGUGACUGUCAGUUCCCCAAUUAACAGAAACUGCCAUGGGUGAUGGACAAAAACCCU